UCGAGAAUCUUGGGCAAUGCGCGAAAGCGUGACCCAGCAAUGCCGCGUGCAUGAUGAAGGCCUUCGGGUUGUAAAAUGCUGUCACUCGGGACGAAAAAAAUGACGGUACCGGGGGAGGAAGACACGGCUAACUACGUGCCAGCAGCCGCGGUAAUACGUAGGUGGCGAGCGUUGUUCGGAAUUAUUGGGCGUAAAGUGUCUGUAGGAGGUUUCUUAAGUUCGAGGUGAAAGCCCGGAGCUCAACGUCGGAGCUGCCUUGGGGACUGGGAGACUAGAGUGCUGUAGAGGUAAGCGGAAUACCAGGUGUAGCGGUGGAAUGCGUAGAUAUUGGGUAGAACACCAAGAGCGAAGGCAGCUUGCUGGACAGAAACUGACUCUGAGGGGCGAAAGCGUGGGGAGCAAACA
rnacentral:rRNA from 1 species